rnacentral:misc_RNA from 1 species
GUGAUCCCAUCCAAAAUUCCAUCCAAGUGUGUUUAUUACAUGCAAUACAGCCAUCUUUGUUCGUUUAAAUAUCUGCGUUUUUGUAGUAAGAGGAGCACAAGUGUAUUCAUCUGAUAACAUCUUGUGGUAAAUGCAUUGUUUAGUUAGGUGAAUUUGUCUUCUUUAGAUAGCGCAAAUCGAGUAGUUUGCACUUUACAUAAUUUUGUUCUCGUAAUGAUGGCAGAUACUGAAAACGGCGAACAAGAAAGUUUUAACAUGGACUCGUCGGUAGAUGCUAUAGGAGUUACGGGAAAUGAUGAAUCGGUUGAAGAUCCUGAAUUAGAAGCUAUUAAAGCCAGAGUAAGAGAGAUGGAGGAAGAAGCAGAAAAAUUAAAAGAGUUGCAGAGUGAGGUAGAAAAACAGAUGAAUAUUAGUGCUGCAACACCAAAUUUUCCUACGUUUGAAGAGAAAAUGGAAGCUGACCAGCGAUCUAUAUUUGUUGGUAAUGUUGAUUAUGGUGCCACUGCUGAAGAACUAGAACAACAUUUUCAUGGUUGUGGUUCAGUUAACAGAGUAACUAUCUUGUGUGACAAAUACAGUGGACACCCAAAAGGGUUUGCAUAUGUGGAAUUUGCUGAUAAAGACUCAGUAGGAACUGCUAUGGCUUUAGAUGAGUCCCUCUUUCGAGCAAGACAAAUCAAGGUAAUGGCUAAGAGAACUAAUAGGCCUGGUAUCAGCACUACAAACCGUGGCAGAGGGCGUUCCCGACGAGGGAGUUAUUUCAGAGGUGGCAUGGGAUCUGGAUAUUAUCCUUAUGCACCAAGAUCUAGACCUAGAUACAGAUAAAGAUUAUACAUACACCAUCUUUCAAAGUGAAGCUUCAGGCAGGAUUGUACCAUGUGAAUCUCCACAGUUUAUGGCAACUGUCAUUUUGUUUCCAAGGCACCCACAGCAUCCAGUCGCUUCCGGAGGUCGCUUUGGUACCAGCCUUACUGAGCACUCUUUACUUGGAGGAUUUCCAUUGUAUUAAAGAAAAUUUCAAGGAGAUUACAUUUCAUCUGCCACGCUUUUUAAUUUUUUUUUUUUUUUCCAUCUCCUAACAGGCAACUAGUUGAUCCCUCAACUCAGCUGGCCUAUUUUAUAUUUUUGCAGAAUUUUUAGAAUUUUUCCUCCCAUUUGGAUAACUCUAGGUCAGUGUGUGAGUGCUUGUCAUGGAAGUGUCUGGAGUUUGUAUCUUGAUUAAUGAAAUAGUUUUUUUUUCUACUGGGGAAAAUAUUUUAUGCUCUUUCAGCUGAGUCAGUUCUUAUAAUUUUUGAGUUUUGUUGAAGUCAAACAGUAUGUUUGAACAGAUUUUGCACUAGCUUACUUUUUGUUGUGUAUGUAUAUGAGUGUAUUUAUUUAUAUAUGUACAUACACACACACACACAAACACACAUUCAUGGUAACACAAAAACAUACAUUCAUUAAUUACUACCAGUUAAGUUUAAAUUGUCUUAAUUAUAUAUUUAAAUUAUUAGCUGGAAUUUUCCUUCAUGUGCAGUUUUCAGUCAAGUGAUUUCUUCUAUCUCUGCUACUAUAACAGUUCUUGUUUAUUACUUAGGUUCAACUGACUGGUUGAUUAACAGAAAACCUUUUGUUUCAGUUGCUUAGGCCAGUCCUGUUCCACUGUUUUUCAUUAUAUUUAAGUGAUUUGGGAAGAAUAGUUUUAAAAAGCAAAAAAAAAAAAAAAAAAAAAAAAAAAAAGUCAUGUUGUGCUAAUUUGCAAGAGUCAAAGUGCAGUCAACUUGUUUGAGCAAGUAUGUCUUUCUAAGUUGCUAUUAAGGUAUUCAUGAAUUUUUUUGUCUUUUCACAAAAAAAUAUAUUCAAAAAAAGAAAACGAAAUGUCUUAAAUCAUGAGCUUUUUUUCUCACUAUAAAUGUUAAAAUUUAUCUGACUUAGGAUCUAAACUGUGUUUUCCACAAGUCUUGGGUUUCUUUUUAACCUCUCCCGCUGUUUCUUCUUUGUUAAUGGUUUAGUUUAGCCGUUUGGUUCACUUUCUUCUAAAAUGUCUCCACUUCAAAUUACUGGCACUCUACUUUAUAUCUUAUCAAUUUGGUAUUUACUGCUUAAAUUUUAAGUACAAGCUUGGCUCUUGAUUUCAUUUAACUAGAAGCAAUAUUCAUAGUAUGCAAGUUGUGUUAUUUCUCUUGUGAAGAACAAUUGAUAUGGAUGUUAGUGACUGUAUGCCAUCAUUUUCAGUCCUCAUGGCCAGGUGCAGAGGAAAUGUAGGUAAAAAUGUUUCUAUUUAUGUAUAAAUUUGAAUAAAAAUUUUAAAAUGCA